CGAUUGUUAGGCAGAGGUUUUAUAUAUUUAUAUACACACGUUGGUUAGUUUAGUCCUCAACCAAUUUUAUAAACUCACCACAGGUUAGGGUACAUAAAAUGUCAGUCUGCAAAGAACUGGAUGUGACAAAAAAAACAUAUCUUGGUGAUGUGUUAGCUGGGCAUGGCAUUGAGCUUCUGCCUAAAUAUGGAGGAAAAGCCUACUUCUGCCAGGAGCCGCUGGCACCAUCUCCGUGAAAGCAGUUUGGGAAUAAGCGGCCCAUUUCGACCCAGCUCGACCCAAAGUGCUUUCAAGGGGAUAAAUGUGAUGGCGUGUGUUUGGCAACUCCCCACCCUCUAUCUGUAAAUACCAGAGUGAGAGGAGACUGGGUGAGAGGAGGAAGAGGAGGAGGAAGAGGAGGAGCAGGAGGAGGGGAAGACAGCUACAGUACACACAAAAUACAGACACACACGGAGAACGACGGACGUACAGACAGAAACAAAGAAAGAAACAAAAAAGAAUGGAGAAAACAGACAGACAGAUGGACAGUGUAACAGAGACCAACAAGAGCCAACGUACAAACGCAUGACCUGAAACAACCUGGGGAAGGAGACAGUCACAUAACAACAAAAUGACAACAACAACAGCAAC